GAUGAACGCUGGCGGCGUGCCUAAUACAUGCAAGUCGAGCGAACAGAUAAGGAGCUUGCUCCUUUGACGUUAGCGGCGGACGGGUGAGUAAAACGUGGGUAACCUACCUAUAAGACUGGAAUAACUCCGGGAAACCGGGGCUAAUGCCGGAUAACAUUUAGAACCGCAUGGUUCUAAAGUGAAAGAUGGUUUUGCUAUCACUUAUAGAUGGACCCGCGCCGUAUUAGCUAGUUGGUAAGGUAACGGCUUACCAAGGCAACGAUACGUAGCCGACCUGUGAGGGUGAUCGGCCACACUGGAACUGAGACACGGUCCAGACUCCUACGGGAGGCAGCAGUAGGGAAUCUUCCGCAAUGGGCGAAAGCCUGACGGAGCAACGCCGCGUGAGUGAUGAAGGUCUUCGGAUCGUAAAACUCUGUUAUUAGGGAAGAACAAAUGUGUAAGUAACUGUGCACGUCUUGACGGUACCUAAUCAGAAAGCCACGGCUAACUACGUG
rnacentral:rRNA from 1 species